CCUACGGGGGGCAGCAGUGGGGAAUAUUGGACAAUGGGGGCAACCCUGAUCCAGCAAUGCCGCGUGUGUGAAGAAGGCCUGCGGGUUGUAAAGCACUUUUAGUGGGGACGAAAACUUGAGGGCUAACAUCCUUCAAGCUUGACUUAACCCACAGAAAAAGCACCGGCUAACUCUGUGCCAGCAGCCGCGGUAAUACAGAGGGUGCGAGCGUUUAUCGGAAUUACUGGGCGUAAAGGGUGCGUAGGUGGUUUGAUAAGUCAGGUGUGAAAUCCCCGGGCUUAACCUGGGAAUUGCAUUUGAUACUGUCAAACUAGAGUGUGGUAGAGGUAAGCGGAAUUCCCGGUGUAGCGGUGAAAUGCGUAGAUAUCGGGAGGAACAUCAGUGGCGAAGGCGGCUUACUGGACUAACACUGACACUGAGGCACGAAAGCGUGGGUAGCA
rnacentral:rRNA from 1 species